GGCUCAGUAUAUCAGUUAUAAUCUGCUCGAUUGUCAAGGUUAUUGGAUAACCGUGGGAAAUCUAGAGCUAAUACAUGCACCGCUCGGUGUGGGUUCGCCCGCAUCGAUUGCAUUUAUUAGAGCGAUACCAACAGUGUGUUUCACACUUGGCGAAUCUAGAUAACUGUGCAGAUCGUAUGGCCUUGAGCUGACGACAUUUCGAUUGAGUUUCUGCCCUAUCAACUUUGUUGGCAGUGUAAGGGACUGCCAAGGUUAUAACGGGUAACGGGGAAUCAGGGUUCGAUUCCGGAGAGGGAGCCUGAGAAACGGCUACCACAUCCAAGGAAGGCAGCAGGCGCGCAAAUUACCCAAUCCAGACAAUGGGAGGUGGUGACGAAAAGUACCGAAUAGCAACCAUUGGUUGCUAGUUUGGAAUGAAGACAAUUUAAGCAAUUGAAUUGAGUAACAACUGGAGGGCAAGUCUGGUGCCAGCAGCCGCGGUAAUUCCAGCUCCAGUAGCGUAUCUCAAAGUUGCUGCGCUUAAAACGCUCGUAGUUGGAUCAUGCACUACGCUUUGGUGUACUUGGAUAGUUGUGCUUUAUAUCCUGUCUCUGGUUGGGGUGUCCACACUUCUUCCGGGGAACGGGUGCGCAUUGUCUUGUUAGUAAUUAGCCAGAGCGUAGUAAUUGCACGUGGGGAUGGUCGUUAGCCUUGAGUGUGCUGGUGACCGUGUCUCACGGGGUGUGCCUUGAGUAAAUCAGAGUGCUUAAAGCAGGCGUUAGCUUGAAUGUUGAUAGCAUGGAACGAACAAUCGUGUAUGGUGUGUGCUGGCAACGGUUGGUGGGAUUCUGUCCCAUCAACUGCAGCACACGACACCGACCGCCAAUUACGGAUGUUGGUUCCGUAUUGGGGUACUGAUUAAGAGGAGCGGUUGGGGGCAUUGGUAUUCGGCAGCGAGAGGUGAAAUUCUUGGACCUGCCGAGGACUAACAAAUGCGAAGGCAUCUGUCCAGACCGUAUCCAUUAAUCAAGAACGAAAGAGAGAGGUUCGAAGACGAUCAGAUACCGUCCUAGUUCUCUCUGUAAACUAUGCCGACCCGGAAUCAGUUUUGAUAUAUAUUUCAAUACUCAAGGUUGGUUCCCCUGGGAAACCUAAAGUUUUUCGGUUGCGGGGGGAGUAUGGUCGCAAGGCUGAAACUUAAAGGAAUUGACGGAAGGGCACCACCAGGGGUGGAGCCUGCGGCUUAAUUUGACUCAACACGGGAAAACUUACCUGGUCCGGACAUCAGUAGGAUAAACAGACAAGCUCUUUUUUGAUUUGGUGAUUGGUGGUGCAUGGCCGUUCUUAGUUCGUGGAGUGAUCUGUCAGGCCAAUCCCGGUAACGAACGAGACCACAGUCUCCAUUUGACGAGUCGGGGAAGGCGUCUAUCGAUCAGAAAGCUGUUCACGCAGUGAUUUGGACUUUGGGCGCUGUAGGCAGUGUUGGUCUCUCGAGAGUUUAACCAAGUGUGUUUACACAUGAAGUUGAACUUUUGGGAUACAGCCGACACUCCCUCUGGCGUAGCAGUGUGUACCCCGCAAGGAGUGCACAAUGUAUCAUGGAGAGACAACGGAAUAUAUUUACAAAAUCCGAGGAAGUGUGGCUAUAACAGGUCUGUGAUGCCCUUAGAUGUUCAGGGCUGCACGCGCGCUACAAUGGCUACGACAGCGAGUAUCUGGAUCGAAAGAUUUGGGUAAUCUUACAAUCGUAGCCGUGAUGGGGAUCGACGUUUGUAAUUACGUCGUGAAAGAGGAAUCCCUAGUACAUGCGAUUCAUGAGAUCGCGCGGAUUUAGUCCCUGCCCUUUGUACACACCGCCCGUCGCUACUACCGAGCGAAUGGUGUCAUAAUACCUUGGGAGCGGACGUCGCGCUGAGCCUCGGUUCGGAGCGACGCUGCGAUCA
rnacentral:rRNA from 1 species